CGGAGUCUCCCUCUGUCGCCCAGGCUGGAGUGCAGUGGCGCGAUCUCGGCUCACGGCAAGCUCCGCCUCCCGGGUUCACGCCAUUUUCCUGCCUCAGCCUCCUGAGUAGCUGGAACUACAGGCGCCGCGCCACCACUCCCGGCUAAUUUUUUUAUUUUAUUUUAUUUUUUAUUUUUAGUAGAGACGGGGUUUCACCGUAGCCAGAAUGGUCUUGAUCUCCUGACCUCGUCAUCCGCCCGCCUCGGCCUCCCAAAGUGCUGGGCUUACAGGCGUGAGACACUGCGCCCGGCCCAUACUACUACUUUUUUGUUCUAUAAUUGCAAUGCAGGUUCAGUUAUUGUUUUUUUUGUUUUUGGCAAUGCUGAUGUAUCCAUUGGAAUCAAGUCAGAGAAACAGAAGCCACUUUUGGAUUUCAAACAGAAUUUAACAAAGAGAAUGUUGACACAGUUGAAAUUAGAGCUAAAAAAGCCAAACAAAGGAUAAGACGAUCCAGAAAUCUGUAAUGGCAGGAAGUUGUUACCAUGAUUAUGCUGAAAGAAGAAACCCAGAAGACCACCUUACUGGAUCUUAGAAGCCAGGACUACCUGGGAGAAGCUGGAAGUACACUACACAACAGACCUCCAUUCAUGCAGUAAAGGGUUGUUUGGUGGGUAAUGGAGCCACUGAGAAAAACUGGCCAUCGCUGGACAUAACAGUAGAGGUAGAGAGCUACAGGGAAAAACUGUGGAGUGAAAAACCUUGACUUCUCAUUUUAUCCUGCCUUCCUAUUUCUAUUGAGUGUGUCCCAUUGGUUGGCACUAGUUGAAAGCCAGUGGGCAAGGGGUUCUGGAAAAUUUAGUUUCCUCUGAUAUAGAUAAAAAGGAGGAAAAGUUGGAGAAUGAAACUGAGAGCAGAUAGGUAAAGUGGAAUGCACUAUGAUUUUAAGUAGAAAAAUGUUCACUUUUAAUUCUUUAUAUGGGCACAUUCAACUUUAACACAGAAUUAGAUAUUAUAUUUUUCUGAUUGCAUUUUUAAAAUAUCCUCAUAAAACAAAAUAUAAGAAUGAACUUUCUGGAGCAUAGAUAUACUAUUUUGUUUUUAUUUUCCCUUCGUAAACUAUAUUUGUUAACUUUGUGGGUGGUUUUAUAAGCUUCUUGGCAAGAAUGUUUAUUGUAUUUGUAUUUUCUAUAGCUAUUAUGAUUGUUAUUUAAUUGACAGAUAAAAAUUUUAUGUAUUGAUCAUGUACAAUAUGCCGUUUUGAAAUACGUAUACAUUGCAGAAUGGCUACACUGAGCUAAUGAACAUAUGCAUUGCCUCACACACUUAUCACAUUUGUGGUGACAACACAACAUCUACUCUCUUAGCAUUUUUUGAGAAUAUAAUAUAUUGUUAUUAACUACAGUCAUCAUGUUGCACAAUAGCACUCUUGAACUUACUCCUUCUAUAUAACUGAAAUUUUGUAUCCUUUAACCAACAUCUCCCCACCCUCACCCCUCACCCCUCACCCCAGCCUCUGGUAACCACCAUUCUACUCUCUACUUCUAUGAAUUUAACUUUUUUAGAUUCCAUAUAUAAGUGAGAUCAUGCUGUAUUUGUCUUUCUGUGCUUGGCUUAUUUCACUUAAUGUAAUGUUCUCCAAGUUCAUCCAUGUUUUCUCAAAUGUCAGGAAUUCCUUCUUUUUAAAGCUGGAUGAUAUUCCUUUAUAUGUAUCCAAUAUACAAUAUAUGUCUAUUAUAUGUACAAUGGUAUUCCAUUGUAUGUCUGUUAUACGUAUAUAUCUCACAUUUCCUUUAUCUAGUCAUACGUUGAUACAUAUUUUGGCUGUCAUAAAUAAUGCUGCAAUGAAAAUGAGAGUUCAGGUAUCUUUCACAUACUGAUUUCAUUUUCUUUAAAUACAUACCCAAUAGUGAGAUUACUGGAUCAUACGGUAGUUUUAUUUUCAAUUUUUGGAGGAAGCUUCAUACUGUUUUCUAUAGUGGCUACACUAAUUUACAUUAUCCGCAUCACUGUACAGUGGUUUCCUUCUCACCACAACCUUGUCAACAUUUAUUGUCUUUUGUAUUUUGAUAAUAGCCAUCUUAACAAGUAUGAGAUGAUAUCUUGCUUUUUAAAAUUUUUUAUUUUAUUUUAAGUUCUGGGAUACAUGUGCAGAACAUGCAGGUUUGUUACAUAUGUAUACAUGUGCCAUGGUGGUUUGCUGCACCUGUCAACCCGUCAUCUGUCUUGUGGUUUUAAUUUACAUUUUUCUGAUGAUUAGUGGUGUUUAGCAUAUUUUUCGUAUACCUGCUGCCCAUUUGUAUGUCUUCUUUUGAGAAAUGUCUACUCAAGACCUUUGCCCAUUUUAAAAAUUAAUUAUUUGGUUUUCUAAAAGUAAUAUUGAGUUUCUUAUAUAUUUUGGAUAUUAAUCUCUUAUCAGAGGUAUGGUUUGCAAAUAGUUUCUCUCAAUCUGUAUGUUGCCUCUUCACUCUGUUGAUAUUUUCCUUGAGUGUGCAGAAGUUUUUUAGUUUGAUAUAAUCCCAUUUGCCUAUUUUUGUUUUUGUUCCCUGUGCUUUUGCGUUCAUAUCCAAAAAUGUAUUUCCCAUACCAAUGUCAUGGAGCUGUUCCCCAUGUUCCUUUCUAGUAGUUUUACAGUUUCAGAUCUUACAUUUAAGUCUUUAAUCAAUUUUGAGUUGAUUUUUGUAUUUGGUGUGGAAAAAAAGGUCUAGUUUCAUUCUUCUACAUAUGGAUAUCCAGUUGUCCCAACGUUAUUUACUGAAGAAAGUCUUUUCCCUAUUGUGUGUUAUUGGUGCCUUUGUCAAAAAUCAGUUGAUUUCAAAUGCAUGGAUUUAUUUAUGAGCUCUCUAUUAAGUUUCAUUUCUGUAUGUGUCCAUAUGCUAUAAUAGUAACAUGCUGUUUUGAUUACUAUAGAUUUGCAGUACAUUUUAAAGUCUGGUAGUGUGAUGCCUCUAGCUUUGUUCUUUUUACUCAUUUUUUUUUUUUUUUUUUUGAGACGGAGAUUCACUCUUGUUGCCCAGGCUGCAGUGCAAUGGUACAAUCUCGCCUCAUUGCAACCUCCACCUCCCGGAUUCAAGCGCGUCUCCUGCCUCAGCCUCCCGAGUAACUGGGAUUACAGGCUCCCACCACCACACCUGGCUAAUUUUUUGUAUUUUUAGUAGAGACAGGGUUUCACCAUGUUGGCCAGGCUGGUCUCGAACUCCUGACCUCGUGAUCUGCCCGCCUCGGCCUCCCAAAGUGCUGGGACUACAGGUGAGAGCCACUGCACCCGGCUCGUCUUACUUAAUAUUGAUUUGACUAUUUGGGAUCUCUUACGGUUCUAUAUGAAUUUUAAGAUUUUUUUCUAUUUCUGUAAAAAAUGUCAUUGGAAUUUUAAUAAGGGUUAUAUUGAAUCUGUAGAUUGCCUUGAGUAGUAUGGACAUUUUAACAAUAUUAUUUCUUCUAAUUUAUGAACAUGAAAUAUCUUUUCAAUUAUUUGUGUCUUCUUUAAUUUCUCUCAUCAAUGUUUUACAGUUUUCAGCGUACAGUUCUUUCACUUUCCUGGUUAAAUUUAUUCCUAUUUUAUUUUUUCUGUAGCUAUUGUAAAUAGAAUUGUUUUCUUGAUUUCUCUUUUUGAAUAGAUUGUGUUUAUUGUAUAGAAACAUCACUGAUUUUUAUAUGUUGAUUUUGUACCUUGUAACUUUACUGAAUUUGUUUAUUAGUUCUAGCAGAUUUUGGUGGAGUCUAGUGUUUUCUAUAUAUAAGACCAUGACAAUUUGGCCAAGCACAGUGGCUCACGCCUGUAAUCUCAGCACUUUUGGUGGUCGAGGCAGGUGGAUCACCUGAGGUCAGGAGUUUGAGACCAGCCUGGCCAACAUGGUGAAACCCUGUCUUUACUAAAAAAAAAUACAAAAAUUAGCUGGGCAUGGUGGUGGGCACCUGUAAUCCCAGCUACUCAGGAGGCUGAGGCAGGAGAAUCGCUUGAACCCAGGAGACAGAGGUUGCAGUGAGCAGAGAUUGCACCAUUGCACUUCAGCCUGGGCGACAAGAGCAAAACUCUGUCUCAAAAAAAAUCACAAUUUAACUUUUUCUAUUCUGAAGUGGAUGACUUUUAUUUCUUUCUCUUGCUUAAUUGUUCUGGCUAGGAUUCCAGUGUUAUGUUGAAAAGAAGUAGUGAGAAGGGACAUCCUUGUCUUGUUCUGAUCAUGGAGGAAACACUUUCAAAUUUUCAGCACUGAGUAUGAUGUUAGCUCUGGGCUUGUCACAUAUGACCUUUAUUGUGUUGAAGUAUAUUCCCUCUGUAUCUAAUUUAUUAAUAGUUAUUUUCAUCAUGAAAGAAAGUUAAAUUUGUCAAUUUUUUUGCAUUUAUUGAUAUGAUUAUAUGGUUUUUGACCUAUAUGCUGUUAAUGUGAUGUUUGGGAAAAAUACUAAAAUCAUGUUUUUCCUCUGCCCUCACACCACAACAAUCAAUACAGAAGACUUCUGUGAUCAAAUGUGUGGUUUAUUUUCCCCAUUAACAAGUAUUAAACACCAGCUGAGUAUUCUCCAAUUCAAUUCUGACACUAUCUACCUGGAGAUAGACCGCCUCCUUGAGCUUGAUUAAUUUGCUGGAGUGAGUAACAUAACUCAGUGAAACACGUCGACCAGUGUAAUAUAAAGGAUAUUACAAUAACUACAAUAAAGAGAUGUGUAGGGCUAGGUGGGGGUAAGGAGCACAUGUGCCUGGGUAUGCCAGCCGCCAGGAACCUCCAUGGUUAUCUAGAAGCUUGCCUAAUCCAGUCCUCUUGGGUUUUCAUGGAAGCUUCAUAUGUCAGCCUUCCUUCCCUAAGGGUAUAGGGUGAAAUCCUCUCUAGGGAGAGUCUUAAGACCUACAAUCAAAUUAUAGUCCUACCUUGGGACUCUAGAGAGCAGGAAAAGGUCAGAGAGAUUGUUUCCAGAUGCCUGCUCCUGAGGUUUAACAUACCUAACAUUAUAACAAAAGACUGUAAUAAGGGCUAUGGGAAUUAUGAG
rnacentral:lncRNA from 1 species